rnacentral:rRNA from 1 species
CUACGGGCUGCUCCAGUGAGGAAUAUUGCACGAUGGGGGGAACCCUGAUGCAGCAACGCCGCGUGGAGGAUGACGCAUUUCGGUGUGUAAACUCCUUUUAUAUGUCAAGAAAAUGACGGUAGCAUAUGAAUAAGCACCGGCUAACUCCGUGCCAGCAGCCGCGGUAAUACGGAGGGUGCAAGCGUUACUCGGAAUCACUGGGCGUAAAGGACGCGUAGGCGGGUUGGAAAGUCAGGUGUGAAAUCCUACAGCUUAACUGUAGAACUGCACUUGAAACUUCUAAUCUAGAGUAUGGGAGGGGGAGAUGGAAUUAGUGGUGUAGGGGUAAAAUCCGUAGAUAUCACUAGGAAUACCUAAAGCGAAGGCGAUCUCCUGGAACAUUACUGACGCUAAGGCGUGAAAGCGUGGGGAGCAAACAGGAUUAGAUACCCGCGUAGUC